GUUGAGGGGAAUGUUGGCUGGCUCGAGGACUUGUUUGGAUGUAGAUCUAUUUCACUUCUUAUUACGUCGUCGGACCAGGCUUCAUUCCCCCCAAU
rfam:Beta vulgaris subsp. vulgaris Bvchr1.sca001.con0107.1, whole genome shotgun sequence.